GGGCGGCGGCGGCGGCCGGGCCGGGCCAUGGGGAAGGAGCAGGAGCUGCUGGAGGCCGCCCGCACCGGGAACCUGCCCGCCGUAGAGAAGCUGUUAUCGGGGAAACGCCUCAGCUCCGGUUUCGGUGGCUCCGGGGGUGAAAGAGGAGGAGGAGGCGGUGGUGGAGGAGGAGGAGGCGGCGGCUCCGGGGGGGGAGGCGGCGGAGGAGGCAGCGGGAGCGGCGGUGUGGGGCACCCGCUGUCCAGUCUCCUCAGCAUCUGGAGAGGGCCAAAUGUGAACUGCGUUGACAGUACUGGAUACACUCCACUGCACCAUGCUGCUUUGAAUGGUCAUAAGGAUGUGGUGGAAGUUCUGCUGAGGAACGACGCGCUAACCAACGUAGCAGACUGUAAAGGCUGUUACCCCCUUCACCUGGCAGCUUGGAAAGGAGACGCAGACAUAGUGAAGCUCCUCAUCCACCAGGGACCUUCGCAUACUAAAGUGAACGAGCAGAAUGCUCUUGAGAUCAAAGAACUCAAAAAGUACGGCCCCUUUGACCCAUAUAUCAAUGCCAAGAACAACGACAACGAGACGGCGCUGCACUGCGCCGCCCAGUACGGCCACACCGAGGUGGUGAAGGUCCUGCUGGAGGAGCUGACCGACCCCACCAUGCGCAAUAACAAGUUUGAGACUCCUCUGGACCUGGCUGCGCUCUAUGGGAGGCUGGAAGUCGUGAAGAUGCUCUUGAACGCUCACCCCAAUCUCUUAAGCUGCAACACUAAGAAACAUACUCCUCUGCACUUGGCGGCCAGGAAUGGUCACAAAACUGUGGUCCACGUCCUCCUGGAUGCUGGCAUGGAUAGCAACUAUCAGACUGAAAAAGGCAGUGCUUUGCACGAAGCUGCUUUGUUUGGCAAGACAGAUGUGGUACAAAUAUUGCUGGCUGCAGGUAUUGAUGUGAACAUAAAGGAUAACAGAGGCCUGACAGCUCUGGAUAUUGUGAGGGAACUUCCUUCUCAGAAAAGCCAACACAUAGCAGCUCUCAUCGAAGAUUACACCAUUGGGAAGAAAAGUGCCAAAGCUGCGGAGAAGACUGUUCCAGCACCGCUUGUUCCAGCCGCUGAUCCCAUGUGCCGGAUAUCUCAGGGUGACGUGGAGAAAGCGGUUACAGAACUGAUCCUAGAUUUUGAUGUGAACCCCGAAGAGGAGAGCCCCUAUGAAGCUUUAUACAACGCAACGUCCUGCCACUCCCUGGACAGCCUUGCCAGUGGGAGAUCUUCCGAUCGAGAGUCCGUCAAUAAGGAAGCGGAAUCAGCCGGUCUCAAAGCAGCAGGAGUCAGGCCUAGAGAGCGUCCACCCCCGCCUGCCAAGCCACCACCCGAUGAAGAGGAGGAGCAGCACGUGGAGAAGAAGAUAGGCCAUGGUGCUUCCUGUGAGGUCUCUGUUGCACGAGGAAAGAGCAAGGGAAGUGGAGCUGAGGAAGAGGAACACCCUUACGAGCUGUUGCUCACAGCAGAAACGAAAAAGCCCGUUGCGGUGGAUAGGAAAACAAAAGACCACAGGAGGAGCAGUGGCAGCCGCAGCCAGGACUCUGCCGACGGCCAGGACAUCCAGGUUCCAGAGCAGUUUUCAGGGUUGCUUCACGGUUCUUCCCCGAUCUGUGAGAUAAGUGAGGACCCUUUCAGGCUUGUUUCCUCCGCCGAGAAAGGAGGGACGGAAGCUACCGCCCACCCACCUGCUAUGCAGCUGGAGGAUGCUGACUUACCUGCCUCUGCGUCGGUACGGACCAGCUCUCCGGACCAAAACCAGAAAGUGGUCUACGCAACCGUCCAGCACACGCACGUCACCCGGGCGGAUCCUGAAACUGUAGUCACGCCCCACGUGCUGCAGCACCCCGGCGGUGCCGAGGAAGAGGGGGACAGAGCUGUGGGCAGAGCCCACCCGGGGAGCAAGCCCAAAGCCGAGCUUAAACUCAGCCGCAGCUUGUCCAAAUCGGACUCUGAUCUUCUGACCUGCUCUCCAACAGAGGACGAUGCCAUGGGGAGCCGGAGCGAAUCGCUCUCCAAUUGCAGCACUGGGAAGAAGAGGCUGGAGAAGUCCCCAUCCUUCGCUUCGGAGUGGGAUGAGAUUGAGAAAAUCAUGAGUUCCAUCGGCGAAGGCAUCGACUUUUCCCAGGAGCAGCAGAGGAUCUCAGGUUCGCGGAUGCUGGAGCAGAGUGUCGGGGAGUGGCUGGAGUCCAUUGGCCUGCAGCAAUACGAGAGUAAGCUGCUUUUGAACGGCUUUGAUGAUGUCCGCUUCCUGGGCUGUAAUGUCAUGGAAGACCAGGACCUUCGGGACAUCGGGAUCGGUGACCCGCAGCACCGUCGGAAGCUCCUCCAGGCUGCUCGCUCCCUCCCCAAGUUGAAACCCCUGGGCUGCGAUGGGAACAGCCAGCCUUCGGUUCCCGCCUGGCUCGACUCUUUGGGGCUGCAGGAUUACAUCCAGUCCUUCCUAUCGAGUGGCUACAGCUCUAUUGACACUGUGAAAAACCUCUGGGAGCUUGAAAUAGUAAAUGUGCUGAAAGUGAAUCUGCUCGGCCAUCGGAAGAGGAUCAUCGCCUCCCUGGCAGACAGACCCUACGAGGAGCCACCGGCAAAGCCACCGCGGUUCUCGCAGCUGAGAUGCCAGGAUUUGAUGUCCCAGACGUCGUCGCCCCUGAGCCAGAACGACUCCUGCACGGGCAGAUCCGCCGAUCUCCUGCUGCCCUCCGGGGACACCGGGAAGAGGCAACACGACCGUGGCACCGAGGUCGCUCCGUACUCCAGAGCUGAGCGCUACAAAGCACAGGAGGACCGUCGGGAGUCGAAGCUGACCCUGCGCCCCCCCAGCCUGGCUGCCCCGUACGCCCCAGUCCAAAACUGGCAGCAUCAGCCGGAGAAGCUCAUCUUUGAGUCCUGCGGGUACGAGGCCAACUACUUGGGCUCCAUGUUGAUCAAAGACCUCCGAGGGACAGAGUCUACGCAGGACGCCUGUGCCAAGAUGAGGAAAUCCACAGAGCAUAUGAAGAAGAUCCCGACCAUAAUACUGUCCAUCACGUACAAGGGGGUGAAGUUCAUCGAUGCCUCUAACAAGAAUGUCAUUGCUGAGCACGAGAUCCGGAACAUCUCCUGCGCUGCUCAGGACCCCGAGGAUCUCUGCACGUUCGCCUACAUCACCAAGGACCUGCAGACCAGCCACCACUACUGCCACGUCUUCAGCACUGUGGAUGUGAACCUGACGUACGAGAUCAUCCUCACGUUGGGGCAGGCGUUCGAGGUCGCCUACCAGCUGGCCCUCCAAGCCCAGCGAGCGAAGCCUCUGGGCGCUGCAGCAGGAGAAACGAUUGAAACAAAAUCUUCCAAACCGGUGCCUAAACCGCGAGCCGGCAUGAGGAAAUCCGCACUGGAGCCCCCUGAAGUGGACCAAGACUCCCAGUCUCAUGCCAGCGUCUCCUGGGUCGUGGACCCCAAACAGGACUCCAAGCGGACCCUCAGCACUAAGUAUGAGACCACUAUCUUCUAAAGCAAACACACCCCGCGUCCACCUAGUCUAACCGUGCCUUUGCGAUCUGAUCUGUCUGCUGUUCUAAACUCCCUCUUCCUCCAGCUGCUCGCACUGAGCCCCGCGUAGGCACUACGUCAAAGGCAGCAGCACUUAGGAGACUGUAGACUUAAACGGCUUUUGUACCUGAUCACUACUGAACACUGUGAAUUCUCCUUACUCGGAAACAAGGGUAACACGCUGUUAGAUAUCUGUGAGGUGGGAGGUGCAGAGGGAUGCAGGCUGGGGGAAUCGGAGGUGCGGAUCCAGGAAGCCGCCUGCCGUUUUCACGUCUUUCCCCUCGCUCUGGCACUGUGAAUCCCUGGGGCAAGGUGACACUCCCCAGGCCUUUUUUUCUAUUUCACCUUCUUAUCCUUGGACUGAUGGAGACCUCUUGUCUCUGCGGUGCACGCACUCCCUCCUCCUAGAUCCUCCUCUUCCCGACUGAGCCACGGCUGCGUACUGUUCCAGUGAACUCACCCCUGCUCUUACCUGCCAUUCGAAUCGACACUAACCACUGUGAUGCUCUCUGCAAAUAACACGCGUUCACUAGAUUUCCUCACCGGGACCCUUGCCCACAGUCUCUCCCCUCGAAGCCUGGAGCAGAAAACCUGCUCUGACGGGAGCACCGCUUUGGGCCGGGUGUGAUCGUUGCCACUGUGAGCUCUGUCCCCUCUCAGAGACGAGGCGCGGUUCUGGUUGCACGCAUUUCAGUCCUUUGUAGGGUUUUCCCCCCCGCCCCGUAGUCCUUCUGUUUGCACUCGCCAAACUUCUCGUGAGCUCUGGCCGUAGUUCUCACUUGGCAGAUUGUAAAGAGGUUGAGCUUUUGAAGGCACAUGUUGUUAGCCCCGUGUUGGGGAGGGUGUUUGAGAGGGGGCUGGAUGCUGCGCGGGUAGGGGUCUGAUAAAGCAGACGGAGCUCUGCCGUGCUCAGCAGGCUUCCUGCCGUUGUACUUCUUUUGCCGGAGGGAGAAACGUGAUUGAAAUCAGUCUGCUGCCGAUCCCAAAGCUUGUUUUCAGUCUACAAACCAUGAGGGCUAUAGGGAUCUUGAAACAUCUGUCACCUCCCGUCCUUGAGAGCGAGGAUUUCACUUAGAGAUGGCUCUGCAAUGGGCACCUCUGCCUUUUCUGGCUGCUUCUCAAGGGCGUGUGGUUUUCCUGUGAGAGAACGUCCCCGUUUCUGUGUAUCUCAGUAGAAGCAGCUUUUAAUUCCAGAAUAUGACUGGGAAUCAUUUGCAUGAGAUCGCAGGGUGCUUGGCGCAGGUCGGAGCGGGGCCAGGACAGGUCUGGGAAUGCCACACAGCAGUUCGCCACCCCAUGAAAGCCCCAGCGAGACGUCCAGGGUCCUACCCCUGGUUCCUUCGCUUGCGCUCGCAAACCUCAGAGAUGAAAUCAAGGAGGAGGAGGAGUAUGGUCUGAUAAAUCACGGCGCUGGGAGGCAGGACUCCUGCCCCGGUGUGGCUUCUCCCUGACUUGCUGUGCAUCCAAGCAGCUUCGCCUCUCUUUACCUGUUUCCCCGUGGGGAGGGGACAUAAUUACCUUCCUCUCGGGGGGGAGAGGCUCGCCCCGUUUGCGGAGCGGUUUUAAGACCCUUUAGUGAAAGGCGCUGCAACUUCCACACCGUGGCAGCAAACCCCCGGUUUUGGAGAGGCGGUGGUGACGGUGGGUGGGUGUUGGAGAGCUGGGAGGAGAGGUGGACGGCAGCUCCCCUCUGGGUGGAGACCUCAGACAUCACCGGGGGAGAGUGCUCGGAUCUCCGGUAAAGCUCCAUUUCCAAAACAGCUUUUAGAAUUUACCCGAGAUGUCCCUUCGCGUUCACCAGUUGGUCAGAAGAGCAGCCCUGGGUUAUUUGCACCUGGGAUUGAGGGGUGAGCAGCUUACCGCGGUUCUGCUGGGGCUUUAGAGCAGUGGCCUCAAAGCUUCAGUUUCCCCAUUCUUGGCGGUGAAAUCUGAUGUUUCAAAAUCUUUAUUUAGCUCUUUCUCAGGAAUGAGUUUGAUCUCCCAAGUUAUCUGUGGCUUAAUGGCACUGAGCAGCAAACUGAGUUCAAAAAAGGGCCAGGCCAGUAAGAACCCAAGCGAGAGGACUAAAAGGAUUGUCUUAAAACAAAAGAAAAAAACAACCCCAAAGGAAAGCUCAGUCUAGUACAUAUAUUUCAUAUGCCACAGAGCCCCUUCCCAUAGAGCCGGUGCUCCUCUGGCUACGGGCCCCCGCAGCAGGGGUCGCGCUGCGGUUGCCCGGAGUGCCGCAGUUGCGGCCAGCAGAAUAUUGCUGCGUCUGAGCUGCUCCGAGAGGUUGGGUUUGGGGUUGAUCAGCGUCUCUCCGAGCUAUAAGAGGGCCCUUCAAAGAGAAACUGGAUUAACAGUAGCGAUGGUAGCGCAGUUUCUGUGUGUAAGCGUUUACCGUGCAGUUGCCCAUGCGUACGCCUGACUUCAGAGGGUCUGAGCUCUCGUAUCUCCCCUCUCUCGGCGGCGCGGGGCAGGUUCCUCAGCCCCACCAAAACGGGUCACUAGAGCAUGUGCCUUUCGAAGGGUGACCGUCCAAACCCAGCUGGGCUCACAGGCAGGCCCUGCCUCAACUACAGAGCUUCCGCUGCGUGUCCAUAACCCCUCCCGGUUGCGUCUCGUCUCCUCCUGGCCGUACGCCUCGUCUUUCCCAGCGCUCGUUUUCGGUAUGACUCGGAAAUCAUUCAUUCCAUUAUCUUCCUUUCUGUUUGCCUCUGAAAAGCUGAUCUCCGGGCAGCUGUCUCCUACCACGGAAAUGUAGUAACGGGGCAGAGACCUCAGAAGCAGUGGCCUGCUGACGCGAAGAUCAUCUCCAUCUGGUGUCUGCCUCGGAGCGGGGGCUCAGUGGGGGCUCCCAAAGCAGAGGGGGGAGAGGGAUCCCGGCCACCGGCUGAGCAAAGCAGCUCUCUCCAUUUCUAGCAAAGGAAAAGUUGAGACUUCCGAGAGCGAUGUCACCUUUUCUAUUUAAGACAAGCGUCUUUCAACCCAUUUAUUUUUAUUUUUUUUUAACGCGUGAGCAAAUCCAGUUCACGGUUUAAAUGUAGCACUGCAGGUUUUUUGGUGAGGAAAAACACAAAACUACACGUAUUUCCUGAGAAUCCCCGCAGUCUGGCAAGGAGUACGAUAGAAAGUCUUAGCAGUGGGAGUGGUGCGCCCAUCUCUAACGGUACUUAAAUUUGCUUCAGUUCUGGGUGAACAGUAGAGAACGCCAAAUUCUUGGAAAUAACUUCCUCCAGUGUGAGAAGCCUUGCAGGGUAAGUCCGCAGCCUUUCUUUUCAAAGCUACUCCGCGCUUUUAGAGCAAACGGAAAUAACUUAAGGAAAAGAAUCUGCAAAGGAUCUUUCACCCCAGAGUGGUUGUGGCCAAGUAUUCCCGAUGGUACAAAGCUCGCUUCCCCUACAGAGACCUGUCGCGUUGCAAUACUUGACAUUUCUAUGGCAAGGACACAAUUUCUUCCCAUUUACGCACUGAACACCUGGAGACGCCGCCCUUUCUCCAGCCUCUCGUGCACCUGACUCGUUUUUAAAUGCAGUUAUGCCCUGAAGGGUUGGGGUUGUUUUGUUUUUAUUUUUAAAGUAUAUUCGAUUGUGAUUUAGCACUUUUUUUGAUACUAGCUCAUUAUUUAAUUAGUGCAACAGUUUCAGAAGAUGAACAAAUAAGGAGUUAAAUUUUGGGCAUUACACUGAAACAGUCCGUACCUGAGGAUAAAUCAUAUCAACCUGAGGAUGGCUUGGCCCCCGUCAAAGUCCAGUGUCCCCAGAUGCCACCCUCUCAAAGGUGCUGUGUGCUUGCUUUUCUUUCGAAUUACCAGAGUAUUUUAACAGUAGUUUUGGCUGUGACUGAUGUGUUUUCGCAGUACCGUUCCCCUCGAGGGAGAGGUGCUAAAAUGGUUGUGACUUUGGAAUUCUUCAGACGCAAAAAUGUAGCGCAGCACGUUUGUUCUAAUCUCGACAGGCGGCGUCGUGGUUGGGGAUGUGGUACCCUGCUGCUUUACUAGAACGAUAUGCCCAAAUAAUUUCUGUUUUAACUCCAGUUGCUGCUGUAUGUCAGGAUUUCAUUUAGUCUCUCUGGCCAGUAAGGCUGGGGGAGAAGUGAACCGUAAUCCCAAGGGCAUAGACCUGUAAAUGAUUAGAAGGGGGAAGUGGAGAUUUUUUUUUUUAUUUUUUUUUUUUAAGUUGAUGAAUUUAGGAAACCUAACAUUCCUUGUUAUGCAUAUGUUGCAAUUCAUACUGGUGUAAGUGUAAAUAUUUGGUGUGUUGGCAACAAGUCUUUUUGGAGAGAUUGCAAAUUGAACCUCUGCUUGGGAGGAGGGACACCUUUCUUUCUUUUUUUUUUUUCUCUUUUUUUUUUUUUCUCUUUUUUUUUUUUUCUAAUUUUUUUGAUGCAUGAGCUUUUUGAAGGUUGGCUUGGAGGUGAAGUGGUGAUGAAGACUCCAAUCUUCAGAGGACUGGGCUGACCCUGGUGGUCCUUCCCAGUCCCGCGCGUAAUCCUAUGGUUGUCUUUAGUGAUCCAGCAGUUCUUUAGCCAGAUACUCUCUUUCUCACUUCAUAGACAAGGCAAUUGUUUUGGCAACGCAUCUCCCCUUUUAUUUCCGUGGGUUUUUCUCAAGGUGCUCUCGUGCUGGAGACCGACCCUGGACCAGUCGUGCCAGUCACCGACUCCCAGUAACCCGUUAACCCAUCGCACAGUGUUCUGGCUCUUCCUCCCUACAGGGUUUUGUGGUAUCUGGAGGAAAGUGCCCUAAAUCUCUGGUGCUGAAUAGGACUUGGAAUCAAAACGCAUCUGCUGUAUUACCUGCCUGGGAAAAAGUGGUGCUGCCCUGGGCCUCGUUCCCCUUUUUAAGGACGGAUUGUAUUUUCCAGACUCUGGUCUGUGCAUGGCAUGAGUCCAGGCCGAGAACUCAAGAGAAGUAAACCAAGAUGCGGAGUUGUCUUUUUUUUUUUUUUUUUUUAUAUAGGAGGGGAUGAUUAUUUUUUUUCCAAAUUGAAGCUGCUUUAUCCUUUUUAAUUUUGUAUUUACAAAAAAAAAAAAAAAAAAGGCUAAUCUUAGCUGUUCAGCUAUCUUUGAACUUGCUUUGGGAUUGUUCUUUUUAGAAGAAAUUAUGCAACUCUUGUGGGGUACGUGCCCGUCCCCCUCCCAGGGAGAAGAUACGGCACCAGGAUGUACCUCGAGUGAAAAAGUUUGUACCUUCACCAGGCUGCUGAGACACAGACCAGAUGCCAAAUAGUCCCCCCCCUCGAACACCCCGCGUUCUGUGUGCAGCUGAAGUGGAGUCAGUCGCUUUAACGCUCCUUUCGCCCCACUUCAGAAGUUUCUAGCAGCAGAAUUUCCCCUGGCUUUCUUCUGCUCGCAUCAUUUCCACGCAAUCAGAUCUUUAUCUUAGAGCAAGCCCCGUGUUUGCAACGCUGUCUUUGUUGCAAAAGGUCUCCCUUUUAGGUCUCAUAUUGGCAUUACUUACUGCAUUGUUUAUAUUUUUUUUUUUUUUUCCAAAAGGAAGUAACUGUGCUGCUCUUGCAAAGUUAAUCUAGCUCAAACUUUUUUUUUCUUUUUUUUUUUUACCCAUGGAAGAAUAACCUGAGAUUCCCUAACAGGGCAGAGAACAGUCAAGUUCAGUUUGCAAUGUAGACAUUUUUGCUAAUUGUGAUGUAUGGCAGUGGGACUGAUUUGUAAUACAAAUGUUAUUUAAUCUGUCUGUAUUUUGAUACUUGAAUUUCCUUUUAUUUCCUGUAUAUACAAUUGUUAAUCUGUUCAAAAUUUGUCUGAAUUUUAAACAUCUUGUGGUACCAAACAUAACCAAUCUGUGCAACAACAUAGACUGACCUCACUACAACAAGGCGAGAUUGUAAAUAUUCCUGGGCUUCCAGCAGUCGUUUUGUUGUUUUCAUAAUUGUCCAACUUAGAACAGACUGAAUUAAUAAACAGACUUAGACACACAUUUACCCCGUUGUCACUGUGACCUCAGCGUCAGUCCGAAGUCUCCUGGUCGUCCGGGUUAAAGCAAUGCUGUUCUCGUCCUCGUCUGCCAGACCUGACCUGGGAAGUAGCAGUCCUGGUCCCGGUGGAUUUGUCUGAUUGAUCUUUACAAGCUGAAGCAUGAUUUGAGAAGCUGUUGGAGAACACGUUCCACCCCUGGCCGGCGCAUGCUGAAGACGAUCAGAAAGAAUCCAUCCCUG